AACACUCUCCCUCCCCUAGUCGUCCGGCCAGGGUCCGGGCAUCAGCCGGUCAUCGGCCACCACGCCGGCCGCCGAUCUCUGGCAACGGCACUAUCGUUUGCGGUGGCCAAAAAAGGGGAAAAUCCCCUACUUGGCCUUUUCGACCCCUCUAAGCUCGAAUCCGAGUUCAAAAUCCCCAAAAUAGCAACACAAACCACAAAGAAGUCAAGAAACCUUUCGGUUUUCAACCACCGAUCCUCAGGGGUGGCUCCCUCGAUUGUCCCGGUGACGUUAUAGAAUCGAGCGAAGGUAAGUCUAUUUCUUUUUCCCUUUUUAUUUUAUUUUCGCAUGUAAAAAAAAUAAAAAUAAAAAUAAAAAAGCGAAAGAAAAAUAUUGAAACAAAGCAAGAAAAUAGAUGUUAACCUCCGAUAUUUGAUGUUUUUGAUCUCGUUGUAUUCUCUGCUCUUUUUGUUAUGAAAUAUUCGUUUUUAUUAUUAUUGAUUUCUCGAUCCCUUUUACAGUAUUUCAAUGGCUUUUUUAUAGCCAUAAUAAUACAAUAUAAAGAAGAAACAAAUCUGUUUUUAUUUGAUUUACAAAUCUUUGAUUUUCUUUCCAUUUUUGAUGUUUAUUUCUUGCAGGUGAGGGCAUGGAGAUUCAGCUUCGUGCGGGGCUUGGCUGCGGCGCUGUUGAUCUUUAGAAACCCUAGGGUUUCUGCAACUGUUUUGGGCCACUGAAUUUCGGGCCUCUUGUUUUAUUUCGAUUUGGGCCAUAUAGGCCCAUUGUAAUUUGGGCCUUUUAGACACGGGCCAAAAUAGUGUAUUACAAUAUUUAUAAUAAAU
rnacentral:lncRNA from 1 species